rnacentral:rRNA from 1 species
UCGAAUCCUGCUCUAGCGGAAUGACCCGUUAACUCGUUAAAACAUCGGGCAAGCUUCAGGGCUCCUGUUUGCGACCCCGGUUUGUUGUCCCCUCACGGGUGUCAACAAGCCAACUAAAUCAACCGGGCGCUGACUGCGCCAAGGAAAUUAAUACUAAAUUGAUUGUUUGCUACUUGUUCGCGGGCAGCAGCGUCAAUCUGAAACAC